GUCUCAGCUCGAGCAUUCCUAGCGCCAACACGCCCUCAGGUAAAGGUGGAAGUAAAUGGCCACGCUGUAUUGACAGAGCAGGUAGAUGAAACUCAAGAGAAAAGGUGUGGAUAAAUGAAACUAGCCCAUGAUGAACCUGUUUUCUCCGUGACCACAAUAUUAACCAGGAUGAAUGGCGGUGGCAGUGGGCCUGCAUCACAGGUUGCAGCAGAUGUUCUCAAUAUUUCUAUUAAAAUUUCCUUAUUUCCAUAUGCAAGAGGAGCCCCAGAGCUGCAUCCUUAUGGUAGCUACCAUGCCGUGAUGUAAGCUGCCAUUCACUGGGGAGCUUUGGCAAUAGAAUUGGCUAGAUCAGGAAGCCUAUGUCAACUAUGGAACAACAACUUGCAGCUCAUCUCUAUUGAUGGUGAAACAGUCGCAAAUGGAAUUCCAAGAAACAUUCUAUAUACACUGCCUCUAGGACUGGGACAGAUAGCCACUGAGUACCUGCUUCAAAUCACCCUGCACGUUUUCUCUUUGGAAAGAUAAGCACUGGAGAACCAUCUCGUUACCUUCAGCAGAAAUGGAAACAAAUCAAGACAUUAAGAAUGCCGCAGUGGACAGCAGUUAUGCAAGGUUCAGCAGAGGAAGUUUUCAAGAUGGUGUGCCUCACUAGCCAGAAAUCAGAAAAGAUCGAAGCUAGCCUUUUCAUCUCAGCUGCUCCUUAAAUCAGUGCAACCCCUCCAAAUUAAUGUGAAUUGAAACUUGCAUUGCUUUUCAACUUAAUUGAAUACUUACUAUAUGUGAACCACUGCACAAAAUAGGGGAAGAAGAUGUGGGAGACAAAGAUGUGGAGCCUGUCUUCAAUAAAUUUACAGUUAGUUUCAGGGUACAUUGUUUUUCUUCUGCUGUUAAUUAGGUGUAUCCCCAAGACAAUAAAUACAUGAAUGGAAAAGUAUAUUCUGUGUUUUAAGUCUCUUUAAUAAAAAACAAAACAAAAUCCAAAAAAACUCCUAACAUGGCAACUCAGGACAUUUUAAUCCUUUUUUUUGUUGUUGGGCUUCUGAUAGGAUCCAUUUUAUUGAUUCCAUAAAUAUUUAGUAGACUUUAGACAUAUUAAUACAUUGUAGUUUGAGUUAAUUUGCAUUAAAUUCUGUUUUUUUCCCCUUAGGUAUAGAUUGUCUGUUGGAAAAAUAUAUUGCUUGUGGAUUUCUUGGGGAGUGGGAAGGUGAAUUAUACCUGUUGUCUCUACAGUCCACUACCUUCCACACCCUAGGGCAGUGGUCCCCAACCUUCUUGGCACCAGGGAUCAGUUUCCUGGAAGACAAUUUUUCUGUGGAUGGUGUGGGGAUGGUUUUGGGAUGGAACUGUUCCACCUCAGAUCAUCAGGCAUUAGUUAGGCUCUCAUAACGAGUGCGCAGCCUAGAUCCCUCACAUGCACAGUUCACAGUAGGGUUUGCGCUGCUAUGAGAAUCUAAGGCUGCCACUGAUCUGACAGGAGGCAGAACUCAGGUGGCAAUGCUUACUGGCCCACUGCUCACCUCUUGCUGUGCGGCCUGGUUCCUAAUAGGCCAUGGACCCCCACAGACGGGUACUAGUCUGCAGCCUGUGGACCCCAGCCCUAGGGGCCUGCCAUUCUGAGUGAGUUAUUAGCAUGAAGAAGAGGAAGAUCUGGAUCAAACGUGGGUGAUGGUACUCAGAGACCCAAGAUAGGAUAGGGAUGGAACAAAAUCCAUCUGGGCAACGGCUCUAUGAAAAUUUGGCUAAGUAAUUAUUUCAGUAUUCAUUGUAUUCAUUGUCCUUCGUGUUCCAUAAGUUAAAUGACUGUCUAAUUUUUCCAAAAAUUUAUUUCUGACUUGAGAAUAAGUGUGUCAUGAUUUUCCCAGUGUAAAGACACUGAUAUAACUGUAGAUACCAGACAUUUUAUGUAGUGUCUAUGACACAUUUUAGUAUGUAUGAGCCAACAAUAGACAUGUCUUUGUCUUGAGGAGUGUCCAUCUGAAUUGAAAAUGUGUCAGCUUUUUUUUAACAUCAUCAACAGACUUCUUAAUUAAGCUGCCAAUACAUACUGCCAAUAGCACUGUGUGCUGUCUGAGAAAUGCAUUGUGUAAGUGCUAUUUCCAUCUUAUUAAAUAAACAAUGUUGCUCUGUAUAAACUGGAUUUAAAGUGUUCUUUGAAUGAGGCAUUAUAUUGCUCCAUAAAUAAUGUGAUGUGAAUUCUCAUAUGAUCCCUUUUAACUUAAUUUCUAAAAAAAUAUUAUUUGCUCCUCAGUAAGGAAUAGCUCUAAUUGGACUGGUAACUUUAGUGAUAUGAUUUGUCUGUAACAGGCUGAAUCGCCCCACUCCCAAACUCCUGGUCGUGAUACUGGAUAUUUGUUAUGCCACUUUUAGUUUGCAUGAGGUAUCUUCCAGGAAGUAUUAGUUAUUAACUUGUGUUCUACUAAACUGUAGAUAUUUAUUUCCUGUUCUGGAAGAUUUCUUGGAGUGUCCAUCUGUGCAUUCCUGGUGCCUAGUGUAGUCUUGCUAAUGGAAUAGCACCUUUAUUGGUGCUACUUAGGGGUUGGUAGCUUACAAUCAAUCUACUUGGAACGUAUCCAAAUAAACUGGAUAUUUUUAUACA
rnacentral:lncRNA from 1 species